rnacentral:rRNA from 1 species
AGUGGCGGACGGGUGAGUAACGCGUGGGUAACCUGCCUCAUACAGGGGGAUAACAGUUAGAAAUGACUGCUAAUACCGCAUAAGCGCACAAAACCGCAUGGUUUGGUGUGAAAAACUCUGGUGGUAUACGAUGGUUCCGCGUCUGAUUAGCUAGUUGGUGGGGUAAUGGCCUACCAAGGCAACGAUCAGUAGCCGGCCUGAGAGGGUGAACGGCCACAUUGGGACUGAGACACGGCCCAAACUCCUACGGGAGGCAGCAG